rnacentral:rRNA from 1 species
AUGGCCUGCUCCUCUUCCACCUGUGGCGAUACCACACUGCAUGCGCAUUUCGUUGCCUGCUUGGUUCAUGUGUUGUCAGGCCUAGGCUUCAUGGGCGAGCUCCGUGUAGGCGGACGGCGUAGAGAAGGUGAAGACACCGCCGGGGACGACUCGUUCUCCGAGUCGAUGGCGGCGAGCUUGGAUUCCGGCGCGUCCAGCGGAUCGCUGUGCUCGUCGAUCAUGUCGAGCCUGACAGACGACGACGCGGAGUCCUCCCCGGUGGCGGGUGAUCCUACGCCGUCGCCAUCGCCGUCGGACGCGAUGCGGCUGGACGGGGACGGCGGCGGGCCUCUCUACGAGCUGGCGCCGCUGCUGGCGCACCUUCCCGUCAGGACAGGGCUGUCCAAGUACUACAAAGGGAAGUCCCAGUCCUUCACAUCUCUGUCCGACGUCAAAUGCUUGCAAGAUCUCGCAAAGAAGACCACCGCCCACAUCGGCAGGAAGGCGAGCCGCUCGUCGACUUCACCGCUUCACGUUCAAGGGCCUCGCAGCAAGACGAUAGGGAAGAAGAAGAAGGCACCGCCCAGGGGUUCAUCUGGCCGGCUGCCGUCAAGAGCAGCAUGGAGCAGGGGCCUUUUCGCACAGAAGCGGUAA